AUUUAGGCGGAGUUAACCAUAAUCCAAUCCAAACCAAAAAUUCUGUUUUAAUUGAUAAUGAUCGGGUCGGUGAUUUAUUUGUUUCAAAUUCAUUUUUAUAGCCGAUUUGGUUUCAUCUAACCAACACCUGAAUUCUAUCUCUCACCCUUUGCCACGGCAGACAGCUCAAGGGCCUCCAUCGUCGCAACUGGCACCACUAUUUUCGUUUCAAUUUACUUUUGUUCACUGCUGGCUAGUUUUCCUUUCAAUCUCUGUUCAUUUCUUGCUAGGGUUUUCAGUGAUGAUUUUAUACCUAAUGUUUCAUUUCUUGUAGCAUCUCUUUGAAACCUUUCAUAACAUCUCAAAUUGUAUCCAAACUCAUUUCUCCAAUUUCAUAGCCCAACCUCUAUGCCUCCCACCUUUGGCAUAAACCCACUCUUCUCCAUUUCAUCAAUCACCUAAAGUAAAACCAUCAACUGCAAACACUACUCGUCUCCAACUAAUUAAAGACAUUCUUAACAAGUGAACCCAUUUGCUCUUUCUUAUCCUAAAGUGAAUUUGGACUUGAGUUUCAGUUAUUAAUUUUGAUGCAUGUUGUUGCUGGGUUUGUAUGGGACUUAGAGAUUAGGCUUAGUAGCUCUUUGACAAAAUUCCUCAAUGGUGACUGAGUAAAAU
rnacentral:misc_RNA from 1 species